AACGAACGCUGGCGGCAUGCCUAACACAUGCAAGUCGAACGAGACCUUCGGGUCUAGUGGCGCACGGGUGCGUAACGCGUGGGAACCUGCCUUUAGGUUCGGAAUAACUCUCCGAAAGGGGUGCUAAUACCGAAUAAUGUCUUCGGACCAAAGAUUUAUCGCCUUUAGAUGGGCCCGCGUUGGAUUAGCUAGUUGGUGGGGUAAAGGCCUACCAAGGCGACGAUCCAUAGCUGGUCUUAGAGGAUGAUCAGCCACACUGGGACUGAGACACGGCCCAGACUCCUACGGGAGGCAGCAGUGGGAAUAUUGCACAAUGGGCGAAAGCCUGAUGCAGCGACGCCGCGUGAGGGAUGACUGCCUU
rnacentral:rRNA from 1 species